rnacentral:rRNA from 1 species
AUUGAACGCUGGCGGCAGGCCUAACACAUGCAAGUCGAGCGCGCGGCGGACGGGUGAGUAAUGUCUGGGAAACUGCCUGAUGGAGAGGGAUAACAACUGGAAACGGUAGCUAAUACCGCAUACUAUCGGAUGUGCCCAGAUGUGAUUAGCUAGUAGGUGGGGUAAAGGCUCACCUAGGCGACGAUCCCUAGCUGGUCUGAGAGGAUGACCAGCCACACUGGAACUGAGACACGGUCCAGACUCCUACGGUAGGCAGCAGUGGGGAAUAUUGCACAAUGGGCGCAAGCCUGAUGCAGCCAGGCCGCGUGUAUGAAGAAGGCCUUCGGGUUGUAAAGUACUUUCAGCGGGGAGGCGUUACCCGCAGAAGAAGCACCGGCUAACUCCGUGCCAGCAGCCGCGGUAAUAC